rnacentral:pre_miRNA from 1 species
GGUCAUGCUUUUCCACAGCUUUCUUGAACUUCAAUUCUCUGCUAACAAACUGUAAUUCUCUUUCGAGAGUAUUAGCAGAAUGUUUGGGAGCUCAAGAAAGCUGUGGGACAACAUGACAA